UUGGUAGUUUUAUUUUAUUACUUCUAUCAUGAUUGGUUAAUCUGGCUGUCAUUCAGGAAACUGGACAAUGAAUCGGUUCGCGCCUUUCUACAUUUAAAAAUAUGACCGUUAUUGUCGUCUUUCUGUGAGUGAGGCGGCUAACUGUGAGCUGCUGCUCGUUAUAACUGACUGCUCUAUCGGUCCCGAAUUAUUUCAUAUUUGCCUGUACAUUUUUUAUUUAUUUUGAGCGAAUUUGAGUCGUGACAUGUCAAUGGAGAACAAAAACUGUGAACACAAGAAGGGUCAGGUGUUCUGCGAGGUCCUGAAAACAUCCUGGCAAAAUGAGAGUCAUCGAGGAUCCAGCUUGUUCUUGAAACAUUGAAGUUUGCCCUCUGCAAGUGAACGACGCCUUGUGGUGCCAUCCCAAAGAAGUUCACAAUCACUCUCACGGACCUUUUCCUGGACUGUACCCAGCUGGUGGAAUCACCUCCCAAUCUCAAUCCAAACUGCUG